rnacentral:lncRNA from 1 species
GUUUGUUCAAUAAUAAUUAAUAAGCUGAAGCUCAAAUUAAUACUUUUUUGUUCUGUUUGCAACAAAGCAGAAGCAGUCUCCACUGAAGGAAUGGACACUGAGAGUGACAAAUGAUAAGCAGUUCUAUUUGUCUUUACCAAAUAGGUAUACUCAAUAUCUUUAUAUAUUAACAAAACAUGCCCAGCAAUCGCUUGGAUGCGAUGCGGUACUUAGGUACAAAGGAUAAAAAUAUCAGAUAUUAAAUUGGCAUGCUUAAAAGGUGUAAAGGCAGCUGCCGUCGUCACUCCUCGCCGUUGGGUCGAAGUUCUUGGCAGUCUGGUCGGUGCAUCCUGCCGGCACAGGCAAAGUACCUUGCUGUGCCCCUUUACCUGCAAUUUAAUUGUUUUGGACGAUCUGAUGAGAAGAUGAGCUUGAUAUGCCGGAUGAACAGGUAAGAAGAAUAGGCCUCCACUGUUUGUUUAUGAUUCACUCUCUUUUGUUUCAGAAGUAAGCAAGUGAGAAGUAAGUAUGUAUGUAAAGUAGGUGCUGAAAGUAUAAAAGGAUUGUGCGUAGUUCACCUCCUCCUAUGCAGCAAGAGAUGGUGGGUGUGUAUGGAGAAUGUUCUAACCGUAGAAGGAACCAGUCUUCAUCGCAUCCUGGUUAGCAUCACCCAGAGCUGCCUGGCUCAUGUAGGUGUCAGCAAGCUGCACACGCUUGACAUUGUCCUGCUCCUGGACGAGCAUGUGCCCGUACUCUAGCAGCUUCUCGACUGUCAUCUUUGGCUGCUCAAAGGUCACUGGUCCGUCCCGCGAGUUCACAAGCUUCUUGCCAAUGUUCUCGAUACCGGUAGAGGUCACCCACUUGCGCACCUCGUCGUCGUACACCCGAGCACGCAGAGCACCGAAAAAGUCUGUGUAGGAUUGACCAUCCUUUGUUAAUACUAUACAACUUGAUUGCCCUGAUGAAUAUAUAUUAUCUCUGCGGUGCAGUUGUGAGGAACAUACCGAUGGAUUGUCCUGGGAAGGUGUCGACGAUCUUGACGACGGACUCGUCGCUGACAUUGUCGGUCUGGAAGAUACCCUUGCAGACACCGAUACGGUCGUCGCGGGUGGGAGCCCAGUAGAACUUCUCCAUACGACCAUCACGGAUGAGAGGGGCGUACAACGUUGAGAAAUCGUUACCAGUGACGACGAUGGGCACACGAGGGUUCUCCUCCUUGUUGUACAUGCCUGGGAGCUGCACGUUGGUGGGGGCAUCGGCGAUGUUCAUGAGGGUGGCGUUCACCAUCUGGUUGUUGACGGUGUACUGUGUGGUCCCGCCCAUCCGACCCGCACCGGCGUCAAGAUCGUUGAUGAAGAGGCAGCACAUCUUACCCUUCUUGAUCAUGUCUGCAGCCUCACGGUACCGCUGCCUGAUGAGCUUGGCUGGCUCUCCGGCGUUGCCACUCUCCAGCUCUCCGGCACUCAUCAUGAUUGGGCUGUGGUGAAAAGCACACGUCAUUAUCUAUUACUAGCACUGUGGCUUGAUGCAUCUAUGACUGUGUGACAGUAUGUAUAAUAGAUGAAUGUGAAUUCCUACUUGAUGCCCAUCUUGGCGAAGACAAGCUCACACUGGAAGGAUUUUCCUUGACCCUUGCCUCCCCAGAUACCCAAGAUGAGUGGGAUCUGAAUUUCGAUUCAAGGUCAGUUCCAGAAUCAGAAUGAUUUUCUUGCUGCUAAUCAAUAGUCAUGAUGCAUACCUUGAUGUUGGGCAGGGUCAUGAAGUUCUUGGAGAGAUGGACAACAAGCUUGUCCAUGAAAGCAGGAGCGAUGUAGAAGCCUCCCAUGGUGUUGUCGAAGUCGUACUUCUUGAGUCCCUGGCUGACGUACUCGUAGGAGCUGAGGACGGCCUCGUGGGUGCCGUCGCCCGUGGGCGCCUGGAAGAGGGAGUCCACGAUGCCCUUCCCUCUGGUGAUGUCCUGCUGGUCGUCGGAGAUAUCGUAGGCAAGACCCUUCCACUUGUCUGUGUUCCUCUUCUCGUCGAUGUUUUCCGCUGCCAUGACUGUGAACCUGUUGGCCUUGGAGCUCUUGCCAUGGUAGUUCACGGCCGAGGUCACCUGCUUCUUGAGCUUCUUCCCGAGGAAGUUGGUCGGCGUAGAAGCCUGUAUACAUUACACACACACACACAUGAGACGCCGUUGAAGACAUUGAUACGAUAUCAUCACUAAACAAGAGAUGCAAUCAAUCAAUUGAUCGAUCGAUCAGUGUGUCAUACGCACCGGGGCACCGACGGUGGAGGAGAAGGCAGCAGCCAUCUCGGUGCUGCUUGGUCGACCUUGCUAGCAACGGUGGAUGCGCGGCUGUGCUGGUGAUCAGCGAUGAAUGACCGCUGCUGCUCAAAGUAUAGAGGCCCAGCUAUGAGAUGCCUUAAAUACACAUGGAUUGGCAUAUUGCUGCGGUGGGGAGCUUGGAGGAGGAGGCGGCAUACACACACCCCUGCUUGUGGAUCAGCUUCCCGAUCCCGCACAGGCCACACGCUGGAGAUUGGGUUCUGAGCCUCUUGGCCGGCCGGUUGGAUGACUUGGACCGUCAAGACCAAACGCUGCAGCUGCAGCUGCAGGUACGUCUGCUGGCCAUCAAUUCCAUGGCCUUCCACGGCCACAGAAUCUAACCAUUCAUGCUCAAAUCAUCUCCAUUUUCUUCCGUGCCUUUCGUUUUUCCUUUCACCGGAUCGUCUUGUUUAUUAGCCAAGCUAUGUCGUUGCAUAACCACAAAAAAGGGUCUCUCCUUGCUUGUUGGAUGAGGCACCCAAGAUUGUAUUCUAGUUCAAGUACCACAAAUUUGUUGCUGCCAUACAUAUACUGGUUUGUUGAUAACCAUCAAGCUAGGGAUGUCAUUUGGCACCACACAAAUAAGUCCUGGUUGACAUCAAGCACAUGGGUAUGUACUUUUGUGUACUCCAAUAAUAUUGCCACUUCGGUAAAAAAAAUGAAACGUAUUAAGAGAAAAGCAAGUCAUGCAGUGUUUUUUUAUUUGAAGGGAAAAUGAUAGCGUGUGUAUAUGUCACGUCUGUAAUGUUUUCAUGUAAAUGUUAUUGGUGCUGCUUAGCUCAAGUUUCCUGGAAUUAUCAUUGUCUUGGUCUACUACAGACCAUUGAUCCUUUUGAAGAAUGCUAGCCGUGUUUGCCUUGCACAAUCUUUCUCCAAUACGCGCUCUAGUGAUGUUGUCCUUGUUAAUCAGUUUCCAAAUCCGUCAAGAGGAAAAUAUACAUGUCACUAGUCAUGACCCCCACAUCCACAGUACCUAAUCAAGAAUUUUCAGAGGAUUUCCAGCUAUCUGCUAAUCUUCCAACAAGUGCUAAUAUGAGAUAGGUUGUUGGGACCCUAGCUUGCAUCCAUUAUUAGAGUGAUUAAGCGGAAAAUGACGAUUCAGGUAUAUAUAGGCAAUACGAAAACAUAUACAAUUGGAUUCUCUUUCAAGAAGAGACUUACAAUUGGGCUACCUGUGCGGCGAUGAAUCAAAAAGUUUGAGUGGAUUCGAGUCCAAAAUAUUCCAGCAUAUAUAUAGUGCAUGCAUGCACGCAUGCAUCUUAAGUAUAGGACUUUCUACUUGCCGUAGAAGGCGCCGGUCGCCAUGGCGUCGUCGUUGGCUUGGCCGAGCGCCGCCUCGCUGAGGUACUUGUCGGCGAGCUGCACGCGCUUCACGUUCUCCUGCUCCUGGACCAGCAUGUGGCCGUACUCCAUGAGCUUCUCGAUGGUCAUCUUGGGCUGGUCGAACGUCGGCGGCCCCUCCCUGGAGUUGACGAGCCGCUUGGAGAUGUUCUCGACGCCGAUCUCGCCGACCCACUUGCGCACCUCGUCGUCGUACACCCGCGCCCGCAGCGCGCCGAAGAAGUCGAUGGACUGCCCCGGGAAGGUGUCCACCAGCCUCACCACGGCCUCGUCGGGGACGUUGUCGGUGCGGAAGAUGCCCUUGCACACGCCGAUGCGGUCCUCCCGGGUGGGCGCCCAGUAGAACUUCUCCAUGCGGCCGUCCCGGAUGAGGGGCGCGUACAGCGUCGAGAA